AUGUUUGCCCGGAAACCGGGAAAGGGAAUAACACUUGAAAUGUAUAUAAGAAAUACUCAAGUUAAUAAAAAAAAAACAAAAAAAAAAACAAAAACAAAAACAAAAAAAAAAAAAAGAAGGAGUGAAGCAUUCACAUUUUUGCCAUUAUUCGUGAGUUUCAUGUGUUCUGUGCAUCUAGGGUAAUUCGAGCAUUUGGACUAAUAUCCAUUUACCAAUGAUUGCAUACCACGUGUGUUUUACUGUGAUUGGGUUACCUCACUCAGAAUGAUAAUUUCCAGUUCCAUCCAUUUGCGUAUGAAUUUCAUAAAGUCAUUGUUUUGAUAGCAGAGUAGUAUUCCAUUGUGUAGAUGUACUAUACUUUCUGUAUCCAUUAACCUGUUGAAGGGACUCUGGGUUCUUUCCAGCUUCUGACUAUUAUAAAUGAGGCUGUUAUGAACAUAGUGGAGCUUGUGUCUUUGUUGUAUGUUGUAGAAUCUUUUGGGUAUAUUCCCAAGAGAGGUAUAGAUGGAUCAUAAGGUAGUUCAAUGUCCAAUUUUCUGAGGAUCCUCCAGACUGAUUUCCAGAAUGGUUGUACCAACCUGCGAUCCCACCAACAAUCGAGGACUAUUCCUCUUUCUCCACAUCUUGCCCACCAUCUGCUGUCACCGGAGUAUUUGAUUUUAGCCAUUCUGACUGGUGUGAGGUGGAAUUUCAAGGUUGUUUUGAUAUGCAUUUCCCUUAUGACUAAAGAUGUUGAACAUUUUUUAUGUGCUUCUCAGCCAUAUGGAAUUCCUCAGGUGUGAAUUCUUUUUUUGCUCUGAACCCCAUUUUUAAUAGGGUUAUUUGUCUCCCUGCCAUCUAACUUUGUGAGUUCUUUGUAUAUUUUAGAUAUGAGCCCUCUAUCAGUUGUAGGACUGGUAAAGAUCUUUUCCCAAUCUGUUGGUUGCUGACUUGUCCUAACAACAGUGUCCUUUGCUUCAGUAUCUUUGUUGUUUUAUGAGAUCACAUUUGUCAAUUCUUGAUCUUAGAGAAUAAGCCAUUGGUGUUUUUUUCAGGAAAUUUUCUCCAGUGCUCAUGUGUUCGAGACUCUUCACCAUAUUUUCUUCUAUUAGUUUGAGUGUAUCUGGUUUGAUGUGGAGGUCCUUGAUCCACGUGGACUUAAGCUUUGUACAGGGAGAUAAGAUGGGAUUGAUCUGCAUUCUUCUAUAUGCUGACCUUGAGUUGAAACAGCACCAUUUGCUGAAAAUGCUAUCCUUCUUCCAUUGGAUGGUUUUGGCUCCUUUGUCAAAAAUCGAGUGGCCAUAGGUGUGUGGGUUCUUUUCUGGGUCUUCACUUCUAUUCCACCAGUCUGUCUGCAUGUCUCUGUACAAAUACUGUACAGUUUUUAUCACUAUUGCUCUGUAAUACUACUUGAGUUCAGGGAUAGUGAUUCCACCAGAAGUCCUUCUAUUGUUGAGGAUAGUAUUAGCUAUCUUGGGUUUUUUGUUAUUCCAGAUGAAUUUGAAAAUUGUUCUGUCUAACUCUCUGAAGAAUUGAAUUGGUAUUUUGAUGGCGAUUGCAUUGAAUCUGUAGAUCACUUUUGGUAAAAUGGCAUUUUUACUAUAUCAAACCUGCCAAUCCAUGAGCAUGGGAGAUCUAUCCAUCUUCUGAGUUCUUCAAUUUCUUUCUUCAGAUACUUGAAGUUCUUGUCAUACAGAUCAUUCACUUGCUUGGUUAAUAUCACACCGAGGUAUUUUAUAUUAUUUGGGACUGUUAUAAAGGGUGUCAUUUCCCUAAUUUGUUUCUCGGCUUGUUUCUUUUUUAUGUAGGGGAAGGCUUUAUUUGAAUUAAUUUUAUACCCAGCCUGUUUGCUGAAGGUGAUUAUCAGGUUUAGUAGUUCUCUGGUGGAACUUUUGGGAUCACUUAAAUAUACUAUCAUAUCAUCUGUAAAUAGUGAUAUUUUGACUUCUUCCUUUCAUAUGUCUAUACCUUUGAUCUCCUUUUGUUGUCUGAUUUCCCUGGCUAGAAAUCAAAAACUAUAUUGAAUAAGUAGGGAGAGAGGGGCAGCCUUGUCUAGUCCCUGAUUUUAGAGGGAUUGUUUCAAGGUUCUCUCCAUUUAGUUUAAUGUUAGCUACCAGUUUGCUACAUAUGGCUUUUGCUAUGCUUAGGUAUGAGCCUUGAAUUCCUGUUCUUUCCAGGACUUUUAUCAAGAAGGGGUGUUGAAUUUUGUCAAAUGCUUUCUCAGCAUCUAAUGAAAUGAUCAUGUGAUUUUUAUCUUUCAGUUUGUUUAUAUAGUGGAUUACAUUGAUGGUUUUCCAUAUAUUAAACCACCCCUGCAUCCAUGGGAUGAAGCCUACAUGAUCAUGAUGGCUGAUUAUUUUGAUGUGCUCUUGGAUUCUGUUUGCCAGAAUUUUAUUGAAUAGGUUUGCAUCAAUAUUCAUAAGGGAAAUUGCUCUGAAGUUCUCUUUCUUUGUUGGAUCUUUAAGUGAUUUCGGUAUAAGAGUAAUAAUUGUGGCUUCAUAGAAGGAAUUUGGUAGUGCUCUAUCUGUUUCAAUUUUGUGGAAUAGUUUGGAAAGUAUUGGUAUGAAGUCUUCUAUGCAGGUCUGAUAGAAUUCUGCACUGAACCCUUCCAGACCUGGGUUCUUUUUGUUUGGGAGACUUUUACUGACUGUUUCUAUUUCUUUCAGAGUUACAGGGUUGUUUAAAUGGUUUCUUUCUUUCUGAUUUAACUUUGGUACCUGGUAUUUGUCUAGGAAGUUGUCCAUUUCCUUCUGAUUUUCAAGUUGUUUUGAAUAUAGGCUUUUGUAAUAGGAUCUGAUGAUUUUUUAAUUUCCUCUUUUUCUGUUGUUAUGUCUCACUUCUCCUUUCUGAUUUUGUUAAUUUGGACACACUCUUUGUGCCCCCUGCUUAGUCUGGCUAAAGGUUGAUCUAUCUUGUUGAUUUUCUCAAACAACCAGUUUUUGUUUGUGUUGAUUCUUUAUAUAGUCUUUUUGUUUCUACUUGGUUAAUUCAGCUCUGAGUUUGAUUAUUUUCUGCCUUUUACUCCUCGUGGUUGAAUUUGCUUCUUUUUGUUCUAGAGCUUUUAGGUGUUUUGUCAAGCUGCUGAUAUGCUCUCUCUUGUUUCUGCAGGCAUUCAGAGAUAUGAGUUUUCCUCUUAGCACAGCUUUCAUUGUGUCCCAUAAGUUUGGGUAUGUUGUACCUUCAUUUUCAUUAAAUUCUAAGAAGUCUUUAAUUUAUUUCUUUAUUUCUUCCUUGGCCAGGUUAUCAUUGAAUAGAACAAUUGUUGGGGGGCUGGGGAUUUAGCUCAGUGGUAGAGCGCUUACCUAGGAAGUGCAAGGCCCUGGGUUCGGUCCCCAGCUCCGAAAAAAAAAAGAACCAAAAAAAAAAAAAAAAGAAUAGAACAUUGUUCAACUUGCAUAUAUAUGUGGGCGUUCUUUCCUUAUUGUUAUUGAAGAACAGCCUUAACCCGUGGUGGUAUCACAGGAUGCAUGCGAUUAUUUCGAUCUUCCUGUAUCUGUUGAUGCCUCUUGACAUCAGGUUGUUUCUCGUGUUACCUGGUCUUGCGGUUUCUGACAGUGGCUUGACUGUCCUGUAGGCCUAUGCUUCAGGAGUGCUGUAGACCUCUUUUCCUAUUUCCUUUCAGCCAGUUAUGGGAACAGAGUGUUCUACUCUCAAUCAAGUAGCCAUUCCUGUCUUCUGGCUUUCAGCUGUCCCUGUGAGCGGGAACCAGAAGGGCCUACCCCUACUUCUCCUAGGUCCCUGUGUACAGGGGGCACAGUUGGCACAACACAUUUUCCUCUUGAGUCAGGAUUGUGGGCAGAGAGUAGUCUCCUCUGGUUUUGCAAGAGUGUCUGCCCCUCUGAAGGUCUAGCUCUCCCUCACACAGGAUUUGGAUGCAGGGAGCAGUUUCAAAAAAUCAUUUUAUAGUUACAAAAAAUAGUACCCUAAAUGUAAUCUCUAUCCAGACCUUCUAAAUCCACUAAAGUUUUGAGUUUAAAGACAUCGGUUUUAAAAAUUGAUUUAUAAGAGUUCCUCACAGUGGAGCUGUGAGCAUGGAGUGCAUUUGACCUUGGUGUUCAGUACCAUGGAAGCCUGUCAGGAGCUGGAUGGCAUGUUCAGGCACCAGGUGCUGGUGUAUGAUGGCACCCACACUCUGGGCUUCUGCUGCCUGUGGGCCUUCCAGCCCACAACUGGUGAGUUGCCAGCAUCGAUGUGAUGGAGAACAAAGAGGCCAGUGCCAGUGUGGUUGUUAAGACAACAGAUUCAUUCAUGGAACAGGCUGACCAGGUCACUGCUGAAGUUGGAAAGCUUCUAGGUGACCAGAAGGUGGAUGCGAUUCUCUGUGUGACUGGAGGAUGGGCUGGGACAAGGCCAAAUCCAAGUUACCCUUUAAAAGCUGUGACCUGUUAUAGAAAUAGAGUAUGUUGACACUUGGUUACAAAGCACCUGAAGGAAGAAGGUCUCUCGACCCUGGCUGGGGGCAAAGCUGCCUUGGUUAGGACUCCUGGGAUGAUCAUCUAUGUCAUGGCUAAGAGAGCCAUCCAUCAGCCUUGCCAGAACCUUGCAGGGAAGAAAAGUGGCAUGACACCCGGGGCUACCACCAUUGCUGUGCUCCCCAUUACCCUGGAUACUCCGAUGGACAAGAAAUCAAUGCCCAAGGCAGACUUCAGCUCCUGGACACACUUAGAGGUCCUGGUGGAGACCUUCCAUGACUGGAUCACUGGGAACAAAUGGCCAAACUCAGGAAGUCUAAUCCAAGUGACAACCACAGAUGGGAAGACCCGUUUACUCCAGCAUAUUUUUUCCUAAGCUGUAUCUCAGUGCCUGGGAUUGCCCUCUUGGAACAUCACUAAACUGUGUGCCGCAUCUGGCCCUGUGUUUUCGGCAUGCCUGUUUGUGGUAUGAGAUGACCAGUUCUGUUUGUCUCUUACAUAGCAUUUCUUUGUUGUUUUGGGAUGUUUAUGGGAAAUGAGCAGAGGCCUGUAGGUAGCACCAUCAGUGCUGAGAGCCCGGGGAGGUAUGUGGUCAGGUCUGUAUCAUAGCAUCCUAGACUGCUUCAGAGACCUGUUUGAUAGUUCUUUCAUUUUUUUGCAUUGGGGUCACUUUAAAAUCCAACUUGUUUUUAAAUUCCAUGUUGGUGCCAUAGAUGUAGUUUUUGUGCCCUGAAAAUUAACUGCCAAGAAAAUUCUUUGCUGAUGUAAGUAAGCAAAACCUAAUGGACUCUAGACUCUGUUGUGAUAUGCCUUUGUGUUCCAGCAUAGGCUAAGUGUUUAUGGGAACCAUUUGUGAGUGUUCUUCCUAAUAAACAUACUUCAUGUCUAAAAUAAAUAAGUAAAUAAAAAUGAAUAAAUAAAUAAAUAAAUAGAAAUAUUCAUUUUUUGGAGAGCUUUCUUGGAAAUAUGCUUGGCAGUCUAUAAACUACUUCAUUGGGAAAUAACUGUAACAGAAACCAUUUCAGAGUUGUAACAGAAUAAUCAGUCUUACAUUGCAGUAGUCUGUGACAAGGCCAAGUUCCUAAUUUCUGUCUCAUGCUACUUCUCUCCAGGAGCUAGAUCUCCAGAGGUAAUUUUGUACCAAAUGAACUUAUCAGGGAAAGUAAUGAUGUUUUCAAUAAGUUGAUAUUUUCUUUCAAUAUGUUUUUAAGUGUAUAUUGAUCUUAAUUAUUAUUUUCUUCAAUUAAGAAGUCAUGUAGGAAAGGGACUGGUAGGGAUGAUGGAGGUAAACAGAACAGGUAAGGGAGUAAUAAGAGAGGGUGAGAAGAAGAGUGUAACCAACAGACACUAUAUACAUGUAUUAAAUUGUCAAAGAACAAAAAUAUGUGAAUUUUAUUAUCUACAGAAAGAAGUGACUUCUAGACUAGUAAGAUGACUUAGAGGGUAAGGGUACCUACUGACAUGCCAAAAACUUGAUUUAAAUCCCUAACUUUACAAGCUAGAAGAAAAUAAUUGAGUGCUGCACAGGUCCUCUGACCUCCACAUGUGCAGUAUAACAUGAAUGCAAGCAAAUAUACACAUAAAUAGAUAAAUAGGUAUAAUGUAAAAAGUUCGCACAACAUGAUUUCUGCUUCCAUGCCUUGUAGAUAUAAAUAAGUUAUCUGUUUUCAUCUCUUGAUGGCUUUAUGAAACAAAUUUUCCAUUCCAAAGAGGAAUAUACUAUUCUUGGUUUGUUUUUUUGUUUUGUUUUUUCCAAGUCCAAUCUUGCCACACACACAUUGCAUUUUCAGCAGUAGCAUUUCUGUGUUGUCUUCCUGUGAACAACUUUCUGCUAUUGUCUGAAUGUGCUGUGGGAAGCAUGGGAGACAUUGGCAGGGCUUAGUUCUUAACUGCAAUCCCAUGGAAAGUCACUAAACACUCUAUUUCUUCAGAACAAACCAACUGAUCAUGUGGACAGCCAUAUCUUAAAAACUAAUUUUAAUUAUGUGACAUGUAAAAUCUGAAUUGAAAUGGGAUAUAUUAAUUGAAACAGGGUGGUGUUUUUGCCAUUGAAGUUCUUUUCCUUUGCAAUUCGAUAAUAUUUUGCUUUAGCUCUGGAAUGUACAAAGUAUACUUGAAAUAUUUAUUUAAUCUUCCUAGAAAGGUACCUUUUGGGAAUUAAAAAUGUAUACAGACUGAGGAAGACUACAAACAGAAUGGAAAGCAGGAAAAAAACUAAUUAAAGUCUUAAAUGAUCCUUGAAUAAAUUGAUGUACAGCCUCCGGGUGCAGGCGUGACUGAGGGGGAACUGACAAAACUGUCUAGAGAAAAUGGACGAAAAAGGACUCAAAAGAAAUCCCUCUUCUGGAUUUCAAAGGACAAAUGGAGGGGAAAUUAUUACAAAUCUUGGAGCUAUCAAGCUGUUUUCCCUCCUCCUAUCUUGCAUAUUUAACUGUGACAACAUUGGCAGGUAAAACACCUUUCUUUCAUUUGCAAACAGAGCAUUUUUUUGUUUGCUUUUCUUUGAAGGUGCCUCUUUUCCUUGUCUGUUUUUGUUUUGUUUUUGUUUUUGUUUUUGUUUUUUUUCAAAAUGAAAGCUUUCUGGUAUCCUUGUAAGGAGUGACUAGUAAUUAAACUUUCCUAAAUUAAAAAAAAGGGCAAUUCUUUUCAGGGUAUUAGUCAUGUUUUAUAGAGCUGUGAAGAGGUACAAAUGGUAACCACUGCAACUCUUAUAAAACAAAACAUUUAAUUGGGGCUGGCUUAUUGUUUAGAGGUUUGUCUGAAUAUCUUCAUGUUGCGAAGCUUGGCAGCAUGGAAGUAGACAUGGUGCUAGAGAAGUAGCUGAGAGUUCUAUAUCUGGAUGGGCAGGCAUUAGGAAGAUUGAGUGACACUGGGCCCUGCUUGAUCAUUUGAAAACUCAAAUUCUCUAUGCAAAGAUAUACCUCCCCCAAUGCCACAGAUAAUGCAACAACACCACACCUCUAUUAGUGCCACUCCCUAUGGCUCUACCAAGGCUAUUUUUAUUCAAGCAACCUCACUCUAGUUAUUGUGUUUCAUAGCUAAGGCACAAGUCCCUUUGACAAAUGUAAAAAUCUAUUAAAUAUCCCUCUCUGUUUCAUUUCAGAGUCGUACACUCAACCCACAAGUAUAUAAAUAAAACUCUGUCAUUCAGUUUUUACACAAAGAGGCCAGAAACACUAUAAAGACAGGAAAUGUCUUCUGAAAUUAAGAAGAAUCAAUUGGUUUACAUUUUGUGGACAAAAAAAAAAAAAGAAAAAAAGAAAAUCACAAUUCCUUCUUUCAACUCCAACUCCUAGGAAUGGGGGAGCCACACUUCUAUCUACAUUUCAAGAACAACAUAACUUUUUGUUUUUAAACAAACACAUAACUUUGUGGCAGAGUGGGGUUUUUCUUAGCUACUAAGUGCACUCCGAUCACUCUAAACACUAACCUAUUCGGUGCCACCAAAACCUAGAACAGCAUUAGCAUAUAUUAUUGUUAGAAGGAUCCCACGAGAGAUGACCACAGAGACACAGUUGAUAGCCUAUAAAAAGUCUAUAAAAAACUAUAAAGUUUAAUCUAGUUGGAUGAGUCUACACCUAGGUAUUUGGGUCCUAAGUGUUUCACCAGGUGUCCAUUGUUUUGGGUUUUUGAAGGAAGAAACCACAUCCUGCCUUUUUUUCCCCCUGCCAUCUUGUUCUGUAGUUGCAGGCAAGUACUGCAUAAUUUCCCAUAAGGAAGUAAUUUAACAAAAGUUAAAAUAAGUUAUCUCUGGAAUCUUAACCUUGAGUUCGUAGAAUACAGAGUUAGGUAAUUCCCUGUAAGAUUUCUCAUCAAAGAGAUCAAAUUCCAGUUAAAGCUGAAAGAAUAAAAGAUGGAAUAUUGCAGUGUUUACCCUGUCAUAUUAGUAACUCCAUAAAUAUUUUAUGAAUAAGCAAAUUGGUCAAAUUUACUGUGAAUAAAAAUCACAGUAUUGUUUUUUAUGUAAAGUAGUAAAGGGAAUAAGUAUCAUGAAAUUAGUGUGAUUGUACUCCAAACAUUUGAUUGAUUCAUUUGUUCAAUAUUUAAAGAAUAUUUAUAUUGGUCCACAGAUAUUAUUCACAUUUACUUCUCAAAGUGAAUGCAUAUUGAAUACAUUUUUAAGAAACAAAUAAAUAAAUGCAAUAUUAUUGAUUUUUGGUAAUCAUAAAAUUAACACUUUCAGUUUUAACUAUUUAAGAGUAGCUGAAAGUAAUUAUACAUAGUAAAUGUUUCACAUAACCGUGCUUAGCUUGAGAAUUUGUCAGUGAGCUUAAAUUCUUGUUCACUGUCUAUAUCAGUUUUCAACCUUCCUAAUGUUGUGACACUUGAAUAGAAUUCUUCAUGCUGUGGUGACCUCAGCCAUAAAAUUUUUUCCAUUGAUACUUCAUAAUUGUAAUUUUGCUACUGUUAUGAAUAGUAGUACAAGUAUCUGUACUUUCUAAUGCUCUCAGACAACCCCUGUAUAAGGUUCAUGACCCACAAUUUAAGAACCAGUGAUCUGUUUUCAUGAUUGGAUGCUAUCUCAUUCUUUUUGUUGUUGCUCUUGUUAUAAGACACAAAAAAUAAUAAUUUUAUGCCUUAGCCAGACUUAUACUCUUCUAAGAAAUAGGAGAAUAAAAGUAGCCCAGCCUAGAAACAAAAAAGGCAUUCUCAUGACAAUGAGCAAGUGAUUAAAAGAAUAGAAUUUUACAGUUAUUUUAUGAUCAUGCAAAAGGUACAUGUUAUGGGUUUACGGUAAGACAUGUUAUGGUUUUGUGGUCAGACAUGUUAUGAUUUUGUGGUCAGACAGUUAACAUACCAUGAAAUAUUGCACAGUCAGUCAAUUUUCUGAACAAAGGAAAUAAUUCACAUUGUGUAAUUCCCAAAAAAAUUGAAGAAGAACAAACCUAAGCAAAUAGCCAAGCUGAUCUCUAGCUAAGGACAUGAUCAAAGUAGAUCAAAGUAUAACUUUGGUUAACUAAAAAGAAAAAUGGAGUCAAGCUGUCCUUUAACAAUUUAAAGGAUAAUGAUUUUGAUGUAUCUUUCCUUUAUAAAGACAAUAGCUUAUGAUACUGAUAAUUCAUAUUAUGCAAGAGCAUAAUAGAAAAAUAAAUGAAAUAUCUGCCCAAUAUAGUUUAAAUAUAAUCCUUUUAUUAAAUUUAUUUAUUUACUUUACAACCCACUUCCUCUCCUCUUAAUAACCCCUGGGCACAAGAUUUUCUUUGGUCAAAAUAUUUCAGGUUGUGGUGAUGUAGAUUUAGAUUUCCUCAGGGGCUUUUUCGAAUUUCCAGAUAAGUUCCUCCCCUAUUAUUUUUCAACAGAAUUGCUGAGUCUACCACUGCCUACAAACUAUACCCUGUUUAAAUACACACACACACACACACACACACACACACACACACACAUACACACACACACAGAGUCAAAUAACAGAGGAUGAUAGUCUAUGACAAGACAAUGCUGGGAGUAGAGAAACAUUAAGUCAGGAAAACUUUUACUAGAGGACAUAGGAGGUGCCUCCUGAAGGUUAAUAGACUGAGCCAGGAACUAUGAAGAGUUUGAUAAAAUAGAGAGGAAAAUAGAAUCAAAAGUCAUAGUAUAUAAAAGAGCUAAGAAAUAUGAACCCUCUUGGUAAAUUAGAAAACAAGGCACAUGGUUCAUUAAAAAUAGCAGGCUAUAAUGAUGGGAGGAACAUCAGAUAGGCCCUGAUAUCUGUGAGGGUUUGGACUUUUAAGAAAUGAAUUUCUUGCAAAAGCAUGUGGAUGAUUAUUUAUUUAGUCUACCAAAGAAAAGAAACCUGUGCUGAAGAAUGUUGUAGAAAGAACCAUCUGAAGCUGUAUCCUGGAGAUCUGAAGGAGAAAAAUCUAGAGAUAUUAAAGGUAGGAAUGCAGGAAAAAAACAAACUAACUCAGAUUAAAAUAACAGUGGGUACAGGUGAAGAAAUAAAUUCUUGGAAGAUUUAGGGGGCAUGAUUGAUAGGACACUUUGUACCUCGUUUCAACAGACCAGACUUUCUGAAACUUGACUUUUCUGUAUUCUAAAAAGAAAUCUGUGAUUUUUUUUCUGUAUAAAUAAUUAUACAUUUAUCCAAGGCUUACUUGCAUACUUACUACAUAAAGAUUUAUUGAUCGGCUCCUCCAUACACAUAGCAUUGUGAAAGUCUGCAAUUGUUAGAACAACAGACAAGGUAGACAUAGAAAAAUCCAAAUCCUCAUUGGCUCUAAGAAUGAUUUCAAAAUGCAGAUCGAUCCAUGCUUAUCACCCUGUACAAAGCUUAAGUCCAAGUGGAUCAAGGACCUCCACAUCAAACCAGACACACUCAAACUAAUAGAAGAAAAACUAGGGAAGCAUCUGGAACACAUGGGCACUGGAAAAAAUUUCCUGAACAAAACACCAAUGGCUUAUGCUCUAAGAUCAAGAAUCAACAAAUGGGAUCUCAUAAAACUGCAAAGCUUCUGUAAUGCAAAGGACACUGUGGUUAGGACAAAACGGAAACCAACAGAUUGGGAAAAGAUCUUUAGCAAUCCUACAACAGAUAGAGGCCUUAUAUCCAAAAUAUACAAAGAACUCAAGAAGUUAGACCGCAGGGAAACAAAUAACCCUAUUAAAAAAUGGGGUUCAGAGCUAAACAAACAACUCACAGCUGAGAAAUGCCGAAUGGCUGAGAAACACCUAAAGAAAUGUUCAACAUCUUUAGUCAUAAGGGAAAUGCAAAUCAAAACAACCCUGAGAUUUCACCUCACACCAGUGAGAAUGGCUAAGAUCAAAAACUCAGGUGACAGCAGAUGCUGGCGAGGAUGUGGAGAAAGAGGAACACUCUUCCAUUGUUGGUGGGAUUGCAGACUGGUACAACCAUUCUGGAAAUCAGUCUGGAGGUUCCUCAGAAAAUUGGACAUUGAACUGCCUGAGGAUCCAGCUAUACCUCUCUUGGGCAUAUACCCAAAAGAUGCCCCAACAUAUAAAAAAGACACGUGCUCCACUAUGUUCAUCGCAACCUUAUUUAUAAUAGCCAGAAGCUGGAAAGGACCCAGAUGCCCUUCAACAGAGGAAUGCAUACAGAAAAUGUGGUACAUCUACACAAUGGAAUAUUACUCAGCUAUCAAAAACAACGACUUUAUGAAAUUCGUAGGCAAAUGGUUGGAACUGGAAAAUAUCAUUCUGAGUGAGGUAACCCAAUCACAGAAAGACAUACAUGGUAUGCACUCACUGAUAAGUGGCUAUUAGCCCAAAUGCUUGAAUU